UAAAAACCAAAAAGGUGUCGCGUGGAGAGAGAACACAGCAGGGGCUUCCAUGGUUCAAGGCACCAGCACCAGCAAAUGACAGAUCGAUGGUGCAGAGAGAAAGAGAGAUCCAGAGAAGCAGAAGAAGAAAAAGAAGACAGAUCGAUGGUGCAGAGAGAAAGAGAGAUCCAGAGAAGCAGAGGAAGAAGAAGAAGAAAGCGAAAGGAGGUUGAACCAUAACUUUAUUGGUUGAAAUUAGGUUGUAACCAGGGACAAUGACCUCUCCAUUACUUGCUGCAGCACGACAAAUCUCAGUGGGCUGGGAUAUAUGAGAAGAAAAAUAAAGAAUUAUAUGCCUUGGACUUGAUUUUUCCUACCAGAUGGUCUUCCACGCGAUUUCUUUGCAACUUUACAACCAUCUAUUGUUGAGAGCAGAUAGCUGCCUUUUCAGCUUGCUCUAGCCGCAUCACCCGUCCAGAAAAGGUAAGCAACUGAUUCACAAACUUCAACAACUAACAAAAUCCCAAUUCUCAAAUGUAAAACAUAUCUUUCAAAUAACAUAGCGAAGCAAAUGACAGAGUCAUGGUGCAGAGAGAAAGAGAGAUCCAGAGAAGCAGAGGAAGAAGAAGAAAGGGGAAAGAGGUUGAACCAUAACUUUAUUGGUUGAAAUUAGGUUGUAACCAGGGACAAUGGCCUCUCCAUUACUUGCUGCAGCAUGACAAAUCUCAGUGGGCUGGGAUAUAUGAGAAGAUGGUCUUCCACGUGGUUUCUUUGCAACUUUACAACCAUCUAUGGUUGAGGUAUCUUUUCUCUUUUGGCCAUCUAUUGUUGAAGUAUCUUUUCUCUUUUGAUGAAACAUUCUGAUCCUAGGUGAUGACAGGUUUAUAUUGUCCAUGAGUGUAGGUGUCACUGACAUUGUGUUUUGCAUAGGGAAAUCGGUGCCCGUAGACACAACUAAAAAGAGUAGAAAAAAUUAAAUCAAUAGGUUAAAUAUGGAAAGAAUUCAAAUGAAAAAAAAAGCAACAAACCCAUAUUAUAAUUCAUUAACUAAACAAAAUGUUUACCUGGAAUAUUUCUAUUAGAAUUUGGCAUUGGAUUUCCUGGAAGAUUUCUAUUGUUUUGCAUUGAAGGAAGAACCGCAUAAUUUUGAAUUAUGGUUGCGGCAUUGCUAUUAUUUUGCAUUGAAGGAAGACCCGCAUAAUUUUGUAUUAUGGUUGUGGGAUUGGACAAGGGUGAUGAUCUUGCAUUGAAACUGUCCAAAAUAUUUUGUAGGUCUUGCAACAACAUUUGUGUUUUGUGUUUCUCUUGCAUCAACAUGACAUUUUGUUUAGUCAACAGUAAGUUC